rnacentral:rRNA from 1 species
UUAGGUAAAUCCGGGGUUUCAAGGCCGAGAGCUGAUGACGAGUCGUCUUUUAGAUGACGAAGUGGUUGAUGCCAUGCUUCCAAGAAAAGCUUCUAAGCUUCAGGUAACCAGGAACCGUACCCCAAACCGACACAGGUGGUCGGGUAGAGAAUACCAAGGCGCUUGAGAGAACUCGGGUGAAGGAACUAGGCAAAAUGGCACCGUAACCUCGGGAGAAGGUGCGCCGGCUAGGGUGAAGGAUUUACUCCGUAAGCUCUGGCUGGUCGAAGAUACCAGGCCGCUGCGACUGUUUAUUAAAAACACAGCACUCUGCAAACACGAAAGUGGACGUAUAGGGUGUGACGCCUGCCCGGUGCCGGAAGGUUAAUUGAUGGGGUUAGCGCAAGCGAAGCUCUUGAUCGAAGCCCCGGUAAACGGCGGCCGUAACAAUAACGGUCCUAAGGUAGCGAAAUUCCUUGUCGGGUAAGUUCCGACCUGCACGAAUGGCGUAACGAUGGCGGCGCUGUCUCCACCCGAGACUCAGUGAAAUUGAAAUCGCUGUGAAGAUGCAGUGUAUCCGCGGCUAGACGGAAAGACCCCGUGAACCUUUACUGUAGCUUUGCACUGGACUUUGAGCCUGCUUGUGUAGGAUAGGUGGGAGGCUUUGAAGCGUGGACGCCAGUUCGCGUGGAGCCAUCCUUGAAAUACCACCCUGGCAUGCUUGAGGUUCUAACUCUGGUCCGUAAUCCGGAUCGAGGACAGUGUAUGGUGGGCAGUUUGACUGGGGCGGUCUCCUCCUAAAGAGUAACGGAGGAGUACGAAGGUGCGCUCAGACCGGUCGGAAAUCGGUCGCAGAGUAUAAAGGCAAAAGCGCGCUUGACUGCGAGACAGACACGUCGAGCAGGUACGAAAGUAGGUCUUAGUGAUCCGGUGGUUCUGUAUGGAAGGGCCAUCGCUCAACGGAUAAAAGGUACUCCGGGGAUAACAGGCUGAUACCGCCCAAGAGUUCAUAUCGACGGCGGUGUUUGGCACCUCGAUGUCGGCUCAUCACAUCCUGGGGCUGAAGCCGGUCCCAAGGGUAUGGCUGUUCGCCAUUUAAAGUGGUACGCGAGCUGGGUUUAGAACGUCGUGAGACAGUUCGGUCCCUAUCUGCCGUGGACGUUUGAGAUUUGAGAGGGGCUGCUCCUAGUACGAGAGGACCGGAGUGGACGAACCUCUGGUGUUCCGGUUGUCACGCCAGUGGCAUUGCCGGGUAGCUAUGUUCGGAAAAGAUAACCGCUGAAAGCGUCUAAGCGGGAAACUUGCCUCAAGAUGAGAUCUCACUGGGAACUUGAUUCCCCUGAAGGGCCGUCGAAGACUACGACGUUGAUAGGCUGGGUGUGUAAGCGUUGUGAGGC